rnacentral:rRNA from 1 species
GUAGGUGGCAAGCGUUGUCCGGAAUUAUUGGGCGUAAAGCGCGCGCAGGCGGUCCUUUAAGUCUGAUGUGAAAGCCCACGGGCUCAACCGUGGAGGGUCAUUGGAAACUGGGGGACUUGAGUACAGAAGAGGAAAGCGGAAUUCCAAGUGUAGCGGUGAAAUGCGUAGAGAUUUGGAGGAACACCAGUGGCGAAGGCGGCUCUCUGGUCUGUAACUGACGCUGAGGCGCGAAAGCGUGGGGAGCAAACAGGAUUAGAUACCCUGGUAGUCCACGCCGUAAACGAUGAGUGCUAAGUGUUAGGGGGUUUCCGCCCCUUAGUGCUGCAGCUAACGCAUUAAGCACUCCGCCUGGGGAGUACGGCCGCAAAGGCUG